rnacentral:rRNA from 1 species
GACGAACGCUGGCGGCGUGCUUAACACAUGCAAGUCGAACGGAAAGGCCCUGCUUUUGUGGGGUGCUCGAGUGGCGAACGGGUGAGUAACACGUGAGUAACCUGCCCUUGACUUUGGGAUAACUUCAGGAAACUGGGGCUAAUACCGGAUAGGAGCUCCUGCUGCAUGGUGGGGGUUGGAAAGUUUCGGCGGUUGGGGAUGGACUCGCGUCCUAUCAGCUUGUUGGUGGGGUAGUGGCUUACCAAGGCUUUGACGGAUAGCCGGCCUGAGAGGGUGACCGGUCAAAUUGGGAAAGAGGUACGGCCCAGAGUCCUACGGGAGGGAGUAGUGGAGAAGAUUGCAAGAUGGGCGGAAGACUGAAGCAACAACGACGAGGGCGGAAAGAAGGCCUUAGGGUUGUAAACCGAUUUCACCUGGGACGAAGCGUGAGUGACGGUAAAGGGUAAAGAAGGACCGGCGAACUACGUG